rnacentral:rRNA from 1 species
AAGAGACAGCAGUAGCCACGGGAAUACAGAGGGUGCAAGCGUUAAUCGGAUUUACUGGGCGUAAAGGGCGCGUAGGUGGUUAUUUAAGUGAGAUGUGAAAUCCCCGGGCUUAACCUGGGAACUGCAUCUUAUACUGGGUAACUGGAGUGCAGUAGAGGGUAGUGGAAUUUCCGGUGUAGCGGUGAAAUGCGUAGAUAUCGGAAGGAACACCAGUGGCGAAGGCGGCUACCUGGACUGACACCGACACUGAGGCGCGAGAGCGUGGGGAGCAAACAGGAUUAGAUACCCGUGUAGUCCCUGUCUCUUAUAC